GCUACUACUGCUCAUACUUCACUGAUUCCAGCAUAUGUUGCUCUCCAGCAACCGUUGAAUACUGGGAAAUACAUUUCUGAAGUCAGUGGCAUUUGACAGGAGUUGGUUCAAGGGAGGUGUAUGGAGAAGUGGCGUUCCUGGGGAGGGAAUAACGUUGUGCAUACAUUACAAAGUAAUGUCUCCUAGUGGAUGUUGGUGGCAGCAAAGUCUUAGCCAGCAAGCCUCUGAAUGCUGUUUUGGGACUGCUUUCAGGUUCAAGUUGAUACUCUUUUACCAUCUGGAGUGAUUAAUUCUCCAUAGCUCAAGUGCACUGUUUGAAAAAGUUCCCCAAGCACCCCUGCCUAACUUCUUGCUAUCUCAUCAUUUGAGAUGGAUAGUCAGCUGCUGCUGAAGCCUAAAUUAUAGGCAUUCAAGCUGGCUUAGCUGACAGGUACAUUAAAAGUGUACAAAGCAGUCAACCUUUAGCUCAGUCUUUCAUACAAAGAUUCAGCCUUCAAAUAUGGGACAGCAUUGCAAGUAUUUUUUCCAGUUGGGGAAUUUUUUGCUGCUGCUACAUUGUCUUACAAGUUUAGUGUGGAUGACAUGGGCAGGAGAUGCAAUUUGUACAGGUUAGAGGCUAGUAGAAGAAAAGCUUGUCCCUGUUUGGAACAAGCAACCAACAGGGAAGUUGGCAGUGAUAUUGGGCAAGAGCUUGUGCAGGAAGGGAAAUCAUCAGAGGCUCUCUGGACAUGGAGCAACUGUCAGUAUUGGCAGUGGACUGCAUGAACUCUUAAUUGGUUAAGAGUCUAAGCUCCCUGGUCUCCAUACUUUCAGGACUGCUCAGAUAGGCAGUAUCUACAUCCAUGGCAAAUGAAUCUGAGAAAUACUGGAUAUUCGUAUUUGUAGAUUUCACUCAGCAAUGCAGUCUUUCUAGUUCCUAGAAUGUUUCUUUUGUAUGUACUCUAUGGCCAUGGUGACUCUUUUUGGGGGAGUCUCCUACAUCCUUAUGAUAACACAUGUAGAUCCUGCUGCUGAUAUGUCUGGCUCAAGCAUUAGUACAGCUAAUCACAAAUAAGGAAAUGUCUCAGAGAAGGGGAAGGGAGAAUCCUCUUCUGAAGCUGUCUUAAUCCUGGAAAUCUUGAGCAGAAGAGAGCAGAAACUGUGGCUGAAUCUCAGUGAUGAUGCUGUGAUGCUGGAACUUCUGAGAUAAGAAAAUAUAUCCAAGCAGCUGUUUGGAAGCUAACAUUUGAAGGACCAGCUGGAUCCAGAGUGAGAAGUUGUGAACAAACAGUGUGAGAAUACUUGGAAUAGUUAGAUAAAUUUAUCCUUGUUUCACCAGAAGCUAUUGGAUAUAGAUGGAAUAAAGGUAUAGGAUAUUUGGGGUUUUCCACUGUAUGUAUAAUUAAAAUAAAGCUAAAAGUUCAGCUUUCCUUAAAUGUUUCUCUUGGUGCUAUGUACAUAAUUCGUAAGCUUUUCCAUAGCAAUGUACUUGGGUCCCAUUUUAAGCAGUUGUUGUCAUUUAAUUAAGAAAAGCAGUUAAAAUGUAACAAAAGCUACUGUGUGAAAAAAGUUCUAGAGGCUUUUUUUUCCUCUGUUGUGUAGGUCUGAUCUUCAAAGAUGCUGGUAGCUAAAAUGAAUGUAUCCUUCUUGGCUUACUUGAGAAGCUUAUGUAAAAUAAGAAAUGGAAACCAGGAUAUUUUUGGAUGGUUUGUUCAGCUCUGCAUUAUAAGAGCAGAUGAAAUUGCAAAAAGAUAAAUUUUGGAAGCAUUAAAUUAUUUUUAACUCUAUUUCUUGUAAAGCAAUCCUAAAAUUGCUUUCAUUCCUAUAGAUAGCUUUCUGUUCAAUACCAAAUCUUUUAGAAGUAUAGCAAAAUACAAAAUGAUGAUGAGGGCAUCGGAACUGUGAAAUGCUGUAUUGCAUCUUGUCUUUGAAUGGGUGUUGUGUGACUGUGCAGAAACACUGCAAUGUGAUUCCCCUAUGUCUUUCAUUUGAAUGUGAGGAGAAGGAGGAGGAGAAAUAGGACACAGUUAGAGAUUGCAAAGUAACUAUGUUAAAAUCUUGUCACCAGAGCACAUGCUCUAAUCCCAAGUCAAGUUGUCACUUGAACAGGUUGCCCAGAGAAGAUGUGGGUGUCUCCUCUCUGGAAGUGUUAAAGGCUAGGCUGAAUGGAGCUCUAAGAAGCCUGGUCUAGUGAAAGGAACCCAUGACAGCAGGGUUGGAAGUAGAUGAUUGUUAAGGUCCCUGCCAACCCAGGCCAUUCUAUGGUUCUACAAGGCCCUGCCAGCUGUACCUAGUUGCCAAGACCAUAUUUAAAAGCUUGCAGUGUCCUCCCAGGCAUCCUUUUCUGUGAGGUCCCCUGUGAAAGGGUAAUAGCAUAGAUUAGUUGAUUUGGCAAAACAACCUCUAGCUGCCUUUUUUUUUUUUUGCCUUCAGUCACUCUUCUAUUAAGUUUGAUAUUUUCCAUGGCAUUUUGGAAAUGGUAGAAAUGUUCUUGUCAGUUCAUCCAUAAUAAACUUUGUUUCCUGGAAAGAUAUGCUUUUACUCUAUAUGAUGAGCCUUGCUGUGCCAAGCCUGUUUGAUAUGUCCGAUUACUCAGCAAAGAAAAGACUGUGACACAUGGCACUGUACUCUUGUGUCUUAAAUAGUGUUGGCAUGUUUCUGCUGUUAAGAACUUGUAUAGUAUAUAUACUUCUGUACUGAAUGUCACUGCUCCACUGGAUGGCAGGUGUUGGUUGGAAAUUCUGUGUUAUUGCACAGAAGUUGACUUAAAAUGUCAAAAGUAGAGUUAAGAUUUGACCUACAUUCACAAUAACAGAUUUAAUUUUUCUUUUCUCAAAAUACAAUGCCAUUGCAUUUUAACAUUAACAUUGUAUUUUGACAAUACAUUGCACUAUUUUGGUCAUUGCAUAGUGGAGAGAUUUUGGGGUGUGUGAGACUUACCUGUGGAGGGAGGCAAGAUUCUCUUGGUAAUAAUAGGUUGGUUUAGCUUAUUGGAGCAUGUAAAGCAAAAAAUGAACCUUAUUGCUGAGUGAACACACUGCGACAGAACUGAAGUCUGUUUUGUAGACAAGACUGCUCUAGCAUUGCAGGGUGUGUGCUUGCUUCAGUCAUACCUGCAGCUCUGCUUGGGGCACGCUCCAGUUCAGAACUUUAAUGUUCUUUAACAUGUCUUGGGGUUUUUUUGUCAUUUGUUAUAAAGAAAAGCUUCUCAAAUCAGUUCUGUGGCACUGUUUACUAGUCAGCAGUAUUGUAUUCCACCUUGCAUGGGCUGAGCUUGCCUCUCAGCCCUUCAGAACUCACGUUGAGGGCAGAGCUGUCAGUGAAUUGAGCAUUGCAGGAUCAGACCCUACAGUGAGCCAAAGGCUUGUCUUUGGGGUAUCAAUUUUCUUAUGAUUAGAAAUGCUCUCAAAGAUAUUGGUGGAUUAAUACAGUUCACUUUUAGAGUUCUAUAUAUACCGUGGAUAUAUGUAAACAUGUGCUUGUGUGUAAUGUAGCAUGUGCCAUACAUCUCAUUUCCUUUAAGACUUGAAGGCAGAAUUUGCUUUGUUGAAGUCUGAGGUCAAUAAAACUAAGGGCUGAUGUUUUUCUUCAGUUCCAUGACUUACUGCUGCUCCGUGAAAGCCUGGUGGCUCACUUUUAUCACUGUAUGAUGGUGAACUAAUGGCAUCUCUUAACUGACUCUCAAGUCCUGCAUUUCUCAUCAGUUUUCAUUCUUAGUGUAGCUCAGGCAGCACUCAUAGUGUCAAAAAGAAAUAAAUACUUCAGCCAGAUGAGUUUAUUUAGGGCAGAUUGUCUCCUUCUGGCACUAUAUAUAUUAGCACUUAAAUCAAUGCAUUAGCUCUUAAGAAAAAGCAAGGGGAAGGAGAACAAAUGUGAAAUAGUUUUUGCCUGAAUGCAGCCUAGAGAAAGCUCCAUUCCUGAGUAGGAAAUGUUGAGUUACAACAGUUUAAUGCUCGCAUAAGAUACAUGGAGAACUUAAAUGUUGGCUGGUUUGUGUUAUGUCUGCAGUGUAACCUGUGCCAUGGCAUGAUCAGCACCUUGUUCAUAGGUGAUGUAGCUUGAAGUAGAAACCCUGUUCUACUGACAUUUAUUAACCUUGUGUUUUUACUCAGUAAUACAAUUAAUGGAUAAAUAUUGUCUCCCUAAUUUAUGAAACAGCUAUAUUAGAUAAAGAUCUAGACUUUUUAUUAUUAUUUUGAACCAGGGUUUGAGCAAAACAGUGUAGAUUUCUAUGCAGAAAGUUUAGAAAAUUUUAAAACUAGCUAUGCUAUAGGAAUGUCUCAGGAAAUACCUAGUGGAAAUAAAACAGCAUGGCUGUUCAAUGUAUAUACUUGUACAGUUAGUCUCCUAAGUUCUUUGAGGAUUUAGGACAAGAACAAUUUUCAGGAAUUCUUAGUGGGCAGACCUGAAGCAAAACAUCAUGGUAAAUGCCAUGUCCAGUUAAGUCAUGAAGUAUACUAAAUAAUCAGAUGUGAUCUUUGUUGCAAUUUGCUUAUUGUUCUGAUACCUCUAUUGUUUAGAGGUGUCAAAGGUUUUUAAAUAGGGUAUGGUUUCUACACUUACACAGAACAUGCAAGUAGAAUAGAUGAUCUUAACAGUGUGGUGUUAGGAUUCCUGUGUGGUUGAUUCAGUAAAUGGCACUGUGAUCUCCAACAGCUCUGAUUUUCUUAAAGUAAUCCUGUAACCUCUGUCAAAAAUGUUGUAAAGACAAACAAUGCAGUGUCUCCAACUAUAAACAAAGUCUUCAGAGUGAUUUCUGCUUUAUGUAGGAAUAUGUUCAAACUUGUUUUUUCUCAUUCCAUUCUUUAAAAGGUGAUAAACUGGGCAGGAGUACAGCUGAUACCAACAAGAUAAAUGAAAUGUACGAUACUUGUUUACUGAACAAAGCUGAUAAAUUGUGUGCAAAAGUGUUAAGCUGUGAGAGGAGACAG